CCGGGAGUGGAAGUCACAAAAGGUGGAUUCUGUCAGGAAACGGCCUUCAACGUCUGAUAUUACACAGAAUGUUGAUGAAGAGACUUGCUCAUAUGAGAGUUGUGGGGAAAUGGAUCCUGCUGAUUGGACAGAUGAGGAAAAGUCUAUUUUUAUGCGAGCUGUGUCAUCGUAUGGAAAGGACUUUACUACAAUCUCACAUUGUGUCAGGACAAGGUCCAGGGACCAGUGUAAGGUGUUCUUUAGCAAGGCUCGGAAGUGCCUUGGACUGGAUUCAGUACAUCCUGGACCUGAAAACGUUAGAACACCAGUGAGUGAUGAUGCAAAUGGUGGUGGAAGUGACACAGAAGAUGGUGCUGAUGAGUCUGGCUCAGUUAUCUGCAGUGAAAAGUUGUGCUCCAAGACAGAUGAUAACUUACCUGUCAUGAAUGCAAAGCAGCAUGAGGAAUCUGAUGCUCUGGAGAUGAAAAAUUUGACUACUGACUUGAAUAGAUCCAAGGAUAGCAAUGUGGCUGGACUGUUAGGUCCAAAGGUUGAAAAAACGUUUGUUUCUGAUGUUUGCAAGAUGGAGAACAAGCCUGAGCUAGCUUUUGACAAUCGCAACAAAAUCAUGGAUGGUUUUGUCCACCAAUCUGAGUCAGUGCUGGCCUCGGAAGUUUCAAAUGAAUCAGUCGGUUCAGAAGCUGGAAUAGAGAAACCAAUUGAAGAUGAUAUUGCUGUUGGAGAUGCAGUGGAUCCUCGCACAUCGAAUCCAGUUGCUGCUGCUGAUGUCAAAGCUAUAGCAGAGGCUUCUGCUAAUGGAAGUGUAAAUCAUUAUUUGAACACCCAAAGUGACUUGGUGCAGGAUUCAAAUGAUUCUAGAAAUUUUUCCCACCAGCCUUUGGGUAUGGGUUCCUGUUCGAACUUCAUUCUAUGUGUGGAAAACAUGCCUCAUGUAUCUGUGGAAUUUGAUUCUGUGGAUAAGUCUCCUAUUGUCUCAUCACUGCAGGAAAAUAAACUUGCUACUUCUAAUUCUGUGUUACAAGACACUGCUGCCAUUCAAUGCAGGAAAUUGCAUAAUCAGGAUAGGCUUUCAUCACAACUUGAUAUUCAGGAGCAUAGAGAUGAGCAGGGUAAAAAAUCUGUCAGUGGGGAUGAUCAUUCACAGCAUUUGGCAGCACAAUCUUUAGUGAAUCACAAUGAGUCUUCCCAGAUUCUUGGGGCCUAUCCACUUCAAAUUACAACAAAGAGAGAGAUGAACGGGAAUAUUCCUUGCAGACCUCAUUCUGAACUUCAAAGCCUUUCAAUGUCAGACAGGAAUGCUGCCAAUCAGUUUGUAGCUCAAGAUUGUUAUCUUCAAAAGUGUAGCAAUUCAAAGGCUCAGCACCCAGUCUCUGAGCUUCCACUUCUCUCCCAGCACACUGGGCAAGGCAAUGAUCAUUCGGGAGACCAAUCGCAGAGUUCAUCAGAGGUGGAAAAGCCAUGCAGAAAUGGUGAUGUUAAACUGUUUGGCAAAAUACUCAGUAACCCCUCAUCUUCGCCUAAGCUGAAUCCUAGCAUCAUUGAGAAUGUGGAACAAGGGACACAGAGUUCUAAGACAGUUAGCAAGUCAUCAACUUUGAAAUUCUCUGGUCAUCAAACUACUGAUGGGAGCUCUUCUGUCUUGAAGUUUGAUCGAAAUAAUUAUCUUGGCCCUGAGAAUGUUCCCAUGAAGAGUUAUGGCUUUUGGGAUG
rnacentral:misc_RNA from 1 species